GAGACUUUGGUACAAUUGGUAGUACGUAUGACUUUUAAUCAUUAUAGUGUUGGUUCGAAUCCAGCAAGUCUAU
rnacentral:tRNA from 1 species